UACGGAGGGUGCAAGCGUUAUCCGGAUUUACUGGGUUUAAAGGGUGUGUAGGCGGACUUUUAAGUCAGAGGUGAAAUCUCCGGGCUCAACCCGGAAACUGCCCCUGAUACUAUUAGUCUUGAAUAUUGAUGAGGUGGGCGGAACGGGUCAUGUAGCGGUGAAAUGCUUAGAGAUGACCCGGAACACCAAUUGCGAAGGCAGCUCACUGGGCAAUUAUUGACGCUGAGGCACGAAAGCGUGGGGAGCGAACAGG
rnacentral:rRNA from 1 species